rnacentral:rRNA from 1 species
UACGAAGGGGGCUAGCGUUGCUCGGAAUGACUGGGCGUAAAGGGCGCGUAGGCGGAUCAUACAGUCAGGCGUGAAAUUCCUGGGCUCAACCUGGGGACUGCGCUUGAGACGUGUGGGCUUGAGUGGGGAAGAGGGUCGUGGAAUUCCCAGUGUAGAGGUGAAAUUCGUAGAUAUUGGGAAGAACACCGGUGGCGAAGGCGGCGACCUGGUCCUUGACUGACGCUGAGGCGCGAAAGCGUGGGGAGCAAACAGG